GAGGAAAAGAAACUAACAAGGAUUCCCCUAGUAACGGCGAGUGAAGCGGGAAGAGCUCAAAUUUGAAAUCUGGUGGCCUCAGGUCAUCCGAGUUGUAAUCUAUAGAAGUGUUUUCCGUGCUGGCUCAUGUACAAGUCCCUUGGAACAGGGCGUCAUAGAGGGUGAGAAUCCCGUCCUUGACAUGAACUACCAGUGCUCUGUGAUACAUUUUCAACGAGUCGAGUUGUUUGGGAAUGCAGCUCAAAAUGGGUGGUAAAUUCCAUCUAAAGCUAAAUAUUGGCGAGAGACCGAUAGCGAACAAGUACCGUGAGGGAAAGAUGAAAAGCACUUUGGAAAGAGAGUUAAACAGUAUGUGAAAUUGUUAAAAGGGAAACGAUUGAAGUCAGUCGUGCUCUUUGGAUUCAGCCGGUUCUGCCGGUGUACUUCCUUUGAGUGGGGUCAACAUCAGUUUUGAUCGCUGGAUAAAGGCUGGAGGAACGUAGCACCCCCGGGUGAACUUAUAGCCUCCUGUCACAUACAGUGGUUGGGACUGAGGAACGCAGCACGCCUUUAUGGCCAGGAUCCGUC
rnacentral:rRNA from 1 species